rnacentral:lncRNA from 1 species
UUUUUUUUUGUGUGUGUGCGUGAUUGUAGGACGUGGGGCGUGGAGUAUGUUAUUUUCCUCUGCGGCGGAGUACGGUCAGUCAAUGUAAAUUACAAACUGCACACAGAUAAUGUAUUAGGCUAAGUCUAGCCACUCGAUUAAGUUUAGUAGGCCUAAUCAUUAGACGGUAAUGGGUCCGUGUACAUUUAUGGGGUGUGUUUAGAGAAGAUCAUGUUUGGUCUUUUUUUUGCGGGAAAUCAUGAGAGCUUUAUUCAAACAAAAGAGCUCCUGGGAUCAUCAGCCAUCAGGCUACUGAUCGGGAACGAGGGUUCAGAGUCGAGCCAACUCUCGGUCACCAUCAGCGAGCUGGCACGCUUCGCACAAAGGUGGGCCGGGAUAUUAGCUGACCUGUAUACAUGUUGAAUAACAAAGGAAUCAAAAAACAAAGCAUGCUCUCCAAUCUCUACAAGUAAAGGGGCCACAACCGAACGAGAGUUGUGGUGAGUGUUUCAGAGAUUCACAAUCUCCAAGCAGUCGGUUUCCAUUAUCACGUGUGAGAAUCCUCGCAAGCGAGCAAAGAGAACUCCCCCCCUUAGUGAUAAGGCUUCGGCAAUGAGUGGGUCUGUAACUCCCACAUGUGGUUUGCAUCAUGAAGCGAUCAAUGCCAUAGAAGAACGAGCAACAACGCCGGCACCAGCGAGUCCUGCUUCAGAACUUAUAGCACCAUCAACAUUGAUCUUGAUGAACCCAAUAUCAGGGGGGCGCCAACCGUGCCCUGGCAGUAUAGUAGCUUGUGCAGCUGGUAUAUCUAGCAAGGCUAGAUCUUCUCGUAUGCGAUGAACAGAGUACACCGGAUCUACAUGUUCCUUCUCAUGAGUCCAUCGGUUCCAUCAUGUUUGGUCUUUUAUAAGUAGUAAAUAGAGACCCAGAGGUAUUUUGCUCUCACAUGCACGUAUCUUUUUUUGAGUUUCAUUUUUUUAAAUGUUUUUAUUUAAAUAGUUGAGGCUACGCCACGAUUUUUUUUCCAGUUACCCUCCACGUUGGGGGUCUGAGCUAAAUUGUUUUCUAAGUUUUCUCUCACUUUUUUGAUUCAUCCGGUUUUCAGCACUUCUUUAUUUAUAUUUAGAGUAUUUUCGUACUAUCGUGGAAAGCAAAUAGAACAUUGACGAUGAAUCGCUUGAAUUUGAGAAGCAACACAGAAUGGCUAAGUGGAGCAACGACAGACGGCAAAUGUUUCAUUGAAACACUAAAACAUACUAGUAUAAUGCCCAUGCGUUGCCACGGGCUCUUGAAAUGUUUUGCUUGAAUUAUGUAAACAUAAUGCAUGUAAAAAAAAGAUAGCACAGGUAUAAUCGAGUAAUAAUUUAAGUCCACUUCACUUACAUUGUAAACUGUUAAUAAAAGGCAAUUUGACAAUGCAUACAUAUAGUGCGAUGAUCAAACUAAAAAUUUGUUACAAAUUAAUAUCUAUUUGAUGCGUUUAACAAAUUCUUGCAUAAUAACCGUCCACCAUGACCGCUCCACCACCAUCCUGAGGCUCGACAUGAGUCAACUUUAAUCGUGCCAAAUAUACAUUGUUUGGAUCCUCAUGCACAUUAAGCAACAUUCUUAAUUUUUUUUCUACCUAUAAACCACUAUUCUUCUUCGUCUUCGUUCUCCUGCUCCUCUUCACUUACUAUCUCUACAUUCCCUGUCCAAGCCAACCGCAACCAUCAAUGGCCCAUCCGGCUCAAAAUCCCCAAACCUUCUACACCCAGACUACAAAUUUUAAGGGACUUUUUGCCAAUAUUUUCUCCUUUCAAGUCUGCAAACAACAAUAUUAAUGUAAAGUAAUUAGUGUAAAGUGGUUUAUGCCCACUCAUGGCCAGUACAACCACAAACUCUGCCGUCUCGCCUACAUGAUGUGUGUCUACUCCCACAAUUUUCCCCCUUACUCUAGCGAGGCCUCCAUUACUUCCGAAUAUUUUGUUCGGAUUAUUUGCCAUCAAGGAUAAAUUAGCAUAUGUGAUAAAAGUCCCUAUGAUUUGACACUAUAGAGGUAGAGCAACAUGAAAAAUAAAAGAUCAUGCUUAUAAUCUUUGGACUUUUGUAGUUUAAAAAAAUGGCGAUAAUCUUACAACAUUUUUCAAACUCCCGUCCUAAUUGAAAAUGAUUGAUGCAUUAAGGAACACCUAUGGAAUCCAAAAAAAAAACUAAUAGCAAGCGACAGUGACAUGGAUGGCUACCUUAUUGCUUUGGAAGUGGAUGGCAUGAGCCGUCCCCCAUAUGCACGAAACAGUCCUAGCCAUGCACAGUUAGCCAAGAAACAUUGGGUCAAAACAAGGGUGUUGGUACCUUGAGCAACGACGCCAUCACGUUGAUAAAUGCCCAACCCAAUUGCUCGUCGCCAUCCUCGGCCACCACCUGGACACACUCCUCUAGACCCAGGCGUUUCGAACGACAUCCUCCCUGCUUCCCCUGGGCGAUGGCCGACUACCGUAACUUCUCUGGAGCGAAUCCUUCCAAAGCGCUGCCGACAACAUCGUCCCUGUGGCGCUGCUCCUUCCUUUUCGUGCCUUUUGCUUCAUUCACCUCCUUCCUAUGAAGUUUUAGUUACAAGGUACAUUUCAGUAAUCAGUAAAAAAUGCAGAUAUUAGUACAAGAAAAAUGUGCCACUUGACAAAGUUUUAGUAGAAAUCAGAUUUUCGUACAACAAGAUAUUUUAGUACGUACUAAAAAGAAUAGUACAAGGGCAAUAAUCCAAACAAUAUCAUCAGAAGUAUGAAACUGAACCUUUAGUCGCAGCAGGUGACUACCCUUGUCAUCUCAAGAUUCAAGCCUCUCCUCUUAUCUUGUUCUCCGAGCAUGCACUAAAAACUGCAAAAAAUACAGAACAUGUACAUGUGUGAACUGAAAUAGUGGAACUCAAACAAACCUUCAUCGAUAGAUCUUUCUUGAACUAUAUGGUCGAUUAUGUACAUGGUCCUCAUAAUGAAAACUAAAAUAUUGAGUUAGCCUUUCCCAUAUCUUUUUUGAAGAAAAUCAUAAGCAUCAGCACCUACUAUGUGGAAGACAAAUCUCCCAGCUUGUUUAUGAUUCAGAACUCAACUGCAUUCAGGCCAAUACGAAUAGCAUCUCAAGGAUCUAGGUAAAUACCUGGAACAAAACUCAAUGAAGAACCAUAACAUCAGUCAAAACUAAACAUGGAAAUUUUGAACUCACUGACUUUAUGUCAGUCCAGUAGAACGCCCGUGCAUUGCUACGGGCUACAAUGCAUAUAAAUAAAUCAAAAAAAUAAUUAAAUUCUAAAGUGGAAGCUCAUUUCUCCCUCCUACUUUCGAGUGUGAACGUACAUCAAACGGACAUCUAACAGGAUCCCCAAAAUUCAACCGUCUGGAGAAUAGGGUAUCUUCAAAUCCAUGCAUAUCCAUAUGUGAGGAAGAAAUAUGGUUAUCCAGACUAUCUGCCAUGUUAUCUCUAACAUGCGCGGACCGAACAAAUUAAAAAAAACACCCACGACGCACCCUUCUCCUUCCCUGCCGAACCCUCACCUCCCCGCUCAUUUCCCGCCAUAGCGGGACAUUUUUCACUGGAGCCCUCUCCAUUGAAACCAGAUAACGCCCAUCUCACCUUUGUCAUGUCGCACUCUCUUCUUCACAUUGUAUUUCCCCACGGACCGCCGAGGAGUCCCCCGCCAACCGCCCCGCUCUCCAUUUUGUUCCCCUCCCCAUGUGUUUCUGUCGAUAGGGGGGAGUUGUGCGCCACCUAUGACACCCUCCGAGCCAAGAAGGUAGAUCUGAUGUCUCCUUAGCCAUUUUCAGAUUGUAACAUAUAGUUCCCCUCCCCAUGUGUUUUUGUGGAACCAACGUCGGGGGUCAGCUGAGCGCCACCCUGGCGCUGGUUUUGGCAAUGCUCCAUGUGCCCAGAGAUUCCGCAUGAUCCACCGAUGCAGUGAAGGCAGGAUAUUCCUGUUAGUACUGUAUAUAUGUCAUUAGGGCCUCUUGUACUGCCUUCAAGAUUAAAAAAAUAGAUCUAUACAAGAAAAGCAGAUCCUUCAAAAUUGCAAUAUCAACAAAUAUUACACCUAUGCAUUACUAAGGUCUAAGGAGUAUUAAAAUAUGAGAUUUACAGGAAACAAAUUGGAAAACUAUUGAGAUAUUUCAAAAGAGAAAACAUAUAUACAAGGGAAUAUAUUGCUUCAAUUCUCACAUUUUCAGGCCUGUCACCUCCAUCGUAAUUAUAUGCGUCUUUAUCCCUCUAGGACUACAGGAGAAAAAUGCAUAUGCACACGUUAGUGGGUACCAUGUUAACAAAAGAAAGUUCUUUCGAUUAACAAUAGCAGUACCAUAAAUGUUGUUCCACUUCUCUACAGCGCAAUGGUUGCCUGGCACUGAAAAGUCUAUCUCAUUCUUACCUGCUGAAUGGUUUCCUUUAGCUGUCGCUAUUCUUUACGGAUAUACCGUUGCUGGCCUAACUGUCUCUCGUGAAAUCACGUUAGAGCAUGUGUGACUGGACUAUAUAUUCCCUUCAUCCGAAAAAGCUUGGGACAAGCUUUUUUGGAUGGAGGGAGUAUGUUGGACUGGAAUAUAUGUGUCUCGGCUGGACUGGACCUAUCCGGCCGUUAGAUACUUGUGGUGUGAGGAAUGAAAGGAACAGUGUAUACAGAUGAGUAAAUAUGGUACUAUAUAAAUGCAAAGGUAUCACAACUAUUGUCUGUUGGUCUAGUGAGAAACGACGUAGCUCUUUUGCCACCAAAUUAUCCUGGAACAUGCAAAUACAGUACAAAAAGAUGUUGGAUUUGCCCGCUGAAUAACAAAUUCAGUUAGAAUUUCAUGUCGGCAGCAAUCAAGAUUUCUUAUUGCCAUUACGAAAGGACGAAGCAGAGUAGAGAUAGUAGCAACUGGCCACCAAAUGUUCGGACUACGAUUGUUUGAGAGCACGUGGCAAAAUCUUGAAGUUAUUUUGGAGCUAUCAAAUACUGCAAUCCAUAUGAUCAUAUAUUACAUCACAUAAGAAUAAGAUGCUACUGUAAAUGAUAUACUUACUGAAUUUAAUUUAUCAGGUAAUCGUUCAGUCACUACAACAUUAUUUAGUUCUGCAAACAUCUUGAUUAAUAGAUUACGGGAUACCUUUAGAAGACUUGAUGUAACCAACGUGUGACUAAUCCAUCCUGUCAAGUUUGUUGGGAAUUCCAAUAGCAUGUACUGCAGGUAAUCAUGCGAAACAAAUUCUGGAAUAUAAAGAGGGACAACAAAGAGUUAUAGGUUGAAGUGGUAUAUAGUUUCAAACGAUUACCUGAUAAACAUAGUGUCAGUCUCCAACUCUGCAAUAAUGACCUCUUAUGCAGGAACCUACAAGAAACUGAGGGAAAUACAUAUACAAAAUCAAGCUGUACAUUUGACAGUACUUGGUAAGAAUGGUAAGAUACAGAUAAUUAAAGUACAUAACUUGCAAAACAAUUUGUUUGCUGCAUUACAAUUAGAAAACACAUCAAUCACUGCAUUUCUAAGAUUGUAAACCUGAACCUCCACAGUUAGUACUCCAUGACAAAGAGCAAAAGCAAUGCAUCGAUGCAUAACCAAACCACACGGGGAUGCCAACAUUCACCUAGAAAACCUGCUGGAAGUACAAAAUCCCUGACAGCCCGGGGAAUCGAAGAAUUCGCCUUUUCAUCUUUGACAGUGUUCAUCAAAGAUUCAUCAUGAUUCUCCCAAUGAACAUGCAGCUUAGAGUUGCCAUCCAACAAAUACUUGAUAGUCACGUCAAUCAGACAAUGAGAAACUCUCGCAAAUACAGACUUGAUAACUCUUUGCAAAUUCAGUCAGGCAUAUCAGCAAACAAAUGGACGGCUGCUAUUGGAUUUCAGAAAAGAAGAUACCAAUCUGUUGCGGCCACAUUCCCAGGCAGAUGUGGCGUCCAUGGCUGCUGAGUCAUGCGACCUUUGGCAAGUAUGCAACCAAUUUCAGAAGAGAAGAUACCAAUCUGUUGUGGCCAUGUUCCCAAGCUGAUGUGGCGUCCAUGGCUACUGUGUCAUACGAUCUUUGGAAGUAUGCAACCAAUUAGAACUGAAUGUUUCAGAGAUGGUAUGAAUUAAUUAGACUUAUAACUAAAUUGCUGAGAUUAAACAUACAUUACUUCGGCCUUCAGUCCUAGCAGCUGAAACACAUGAAGAAGGCAAUUGAUUUGCAAAAAAUAAAGGGGGUGAUGGAGAGAACAUGUAACUCACUCAAGAAUUACACAACCAACACGAAUCUAUUACGGAGCAUUAUAAAAAUUAUUAACUUUAAAGUAUGAUCCGUGAGAUAAAAAAUAAGAUAGUGUUUUUUAUUCAAUCGCCAUAUUUUGAACUGAUACUUCGAAACAAACCUGUUGUGACAUUUUGCUAGCAAUCAGGUCACUGAAGGUGGGGCGGUGUCGGACGAAAAAUAAGCAGUUUGGAUUAUCCACAUACCUCUGUUGGUUUACCAUAUCACAUGAUGCAGCCGAUGUGCAUAAAAUCAAUAGCCGUGGGGAAGAUUUGUGUUCUUUGCUCUUCUCCUUCAUCAUUCAUAAUGCUAGCAUGGAGAAAAAGCAUUGUUGCCCAUCUCUUAUUUGAAAAGAUCGCAAAAUCCAAAAAAGGAUGAAAUGUAGAGACUGCGAGAGCAAUAGGAAUACCACCGAUGGAUCCCCUCAGUGGUCGUAUGUUGAUUGAAUAUUUGCCGCUGAUGAUCUGUACUUGAGGCAGGCCUCGAGGCGUUGGCAUCCAGCACUCCUUUGUCUCGGUGCCCAGCGGUAACGGUGCCAAGGGGGACAGUUCAUCGGCGCCGCCACCGUCUCCUCACCGCCAAGAUCGGCCUCCAGUCUCGCGUUGAGAGGAAGAAACGGGUGGGCAUGCAGGUACCUGCACUUGCCGGUGCGCGGCGGCAGUACCCGCUCGAUCUGCGCCUGCAUCUACUCGUCGGCGCCGAGCGCCUCCUCCUCGCUGCGCACAUUAUGGGGGGUUCCUCGUCGGCGCCGCGCUCCCGGCGCUCUACAUCCUCGACGGCCUCCGGUCCGGGGACACCACGGGGAUCGCCGCCGAGAGUGAGAGAGAAGGUGGGGGCCGGGCUUAGCCGGGAUCGGGGGAGCAGAUGGGGGACGGGCGGCGCCGGGAGCCGGGGAGGAGGUCGGGGGCUGGCGGCACCGAGCGGCGGCGAAGGGAUCUAGCGGUGGUGGUGAGGGGACGAAGGGCGGCGGCGGGGAACGAGGGCACAGAGUUGGGCAACUGUUUCUCGCUCGAGGGCAAGAGACCUCGGUCGUACGUGCGGGUGGUUGGUUUGUGAUUUUUUUCGCUGGUUAAUUUUCGCCGGUUUAUUUUUGCUAGUUUGUUUUCGUUCGUGACAGAUGGGUACGACGGGAGGGUAGGCGCGUGGGGGCGGAUGUGGGACUCGAUCGUGGGGUUUUUCUUGGUUUUUCGCGACUGAGCGGGAGGUGGGAGGAAGUACCAAAGAAGUACCAAAAAAGACCGGGUGAGGUGGGACGAAAAUAAAUCCCGGAACGCGACCUACCAACUGAGACAUUAGGAGUAGAGAUAGGUAAAACGAAAUAUGAGAUAAACAUAUGAACGGGUUGAGAUUUGUUUGCAAGGGUCGAAUCGGAUCUGCGAUUCACCGAAACAAGACAAGGGUUCUGAAAAUCCUAGCGGAUCUUUCCGGUUCCUCAGAUGGAAGGAAACCUUUACAUCCGGGAACUGUUCAGGGACGCGACAAACCUGUAAGCCUACCAAUCAACGAGAACCUGAACCUUUUGCCUCUUUCUAACGGAGAACGGUUAAUUAGGAACCCAUCCAUGGUUGAAAUUUGACCCAAAAAUUGGCUGAAAUUGAAUUACUACAUUUUUUUAAAUCUGUUUGUCAAAAAGGUUUGCUUUUUUCAUUUUUUCUGGACAAAUUAAAUUUUUGGUCAAAAUUCGGUAAAAUACCUGCCCCAUGUGCCAAAACCACCUUUAGAUCAAGUGAGGGGGCCAGUUACACGAAUCCGGUAUUGAAGUAAUUUGUUGAAGAAUCUGAUGCCUGAUGGUCACACAUAGGGAGUGGGAAGUUUAAUUCGUUGAGGUCACGGGUAAUGGUGCAUGGAGGUCAACCGGCACUGUCUGGUUGGGUCCUCAGAUGGGAGGUACGGUGGUUGUGUGGAGAUGGAAAUUUCUCUUCCUCCUCAUCGGUAUGAUUUUCUGCUACUGCUCUUCUUCAUUCUUUGUGCUACUCUAGAGGGAUGCCUUGCUUUGUCCGGGCGGUUGGCCCCGCCGUGGCAUCGGAAUCAGAUCCUUCUUCUCUUCCAUCUGGAAGGGGCAUAUAUAGCGGUGCUCAAAGCCAUAGAUGACGAAGGCUGAUGCAGGCGUGUUGCAUGCACAAGUGUGUCCUUGUCUUUUUGGCGCCGGUGUGAAGAAAAAGGGAAGCAACGUGGCAACGAUUAUGCCGUGGUUGAAGAUGAUGACCUGCUUGUGUCUGGUUGCAGAUUCUUGUUUUGCGGGUGUCUUCUCACAAGAUUUAGGAAUGAGAACACAGAGCUUCAGAGAUCUUCAUGUUUUACUGGUUGAUUCAGGCUGCCCUCUGUUUUUCAGUUUCUUCAUACGUGUGUUAGGGUCUCCUUAUACGGGUCAAAGACUUCGUGUUAUUUGAAUACAAGCAUACUUUAAAAAAGGAGUGAGAAGUUUAAUUUGUUGAAUCAAGUGAGGGGGCAAUUUUCUACUCCCUCCGUAAAGAAAUAUAAGAGUGUUUCUUAUUAAAGUAGUAAUCUAAAUACUUUUAUAUUUGUUUACAGAGGAAGUACUUUCUUGAAAAGAAUGAUUACUUUUGAUUAGGAGGAAUUCACCCAUGGUCACACGUUUGCAGUGUUAAUUAUUUCCCACUCCUGAUGCAAAGCUGCUGCCUGCGGCCUGCCCCAUCUCACGAGUCAACACCACUGGCCUGAAGAAACGGCGUACCACACGUUACUUCCUCGGAGGCGCUCGUCCACUCCUACAGCAUAACUACACCUGACCUAGCAAAUCUGAAUUUUACGCAGCUCCAUUAUUCAUUCAUAGGGAAAGAAGUUCACACCACAAUACUUGCACCCCCGCUAGAACCAGAACACACACAUAACACCCACACACCCACACACACACACCAGGUAGGGGAUAGUCCACGCAGCAAGUGCAAGCUCGCGACAACCAGAGCACAUCAUGCCUCGAAUUAACUUUCGGUACCCACCCGGCGAUCAGGUGUUGUUUCAACGUGCGCUGGAUUAUACCGCUCCUGUUGAAGCGCUACGCCGCGCGCUAAAUUUUACAGUGCCUGUUAAGAGCAUCUCUACCAGACCUCUUAAAAUCGUAACCUGUAAAAUUGAUAUACGGGUCAAAAAAAUACAUUUUAAGGGUUCAUUUUAGCUAUAACCGAACAAAUAUUUUAAAAUAACUGUAAAACUAGAAUAAAGAGUUCCUUCCUUUGGUCCGGCCGCUGCCGCCCCUUCCCCCAGCCAGCCGUGCCCAACCCCGUCGGCCGCGCCCCGUCGCCCGCCGGCCAUGCCCCAUCGCCCGUUGGCCGCACUCCGUCCCUGCCGGCCGCACCCCAUCACCAUGCCGGCCGCGCCCACUCUCGCCAGCCACGCCCNNNNNNNNNNNNNNNNNNNNNNNNNNNNNNNNNNNNNNNNNNNNNNNNNNNNNNNNNNNNNNNNNNNNNNNNNNNNNNNNNNNNNNNNNNNNNNNNNNNNNNNNNNNNNNNNNNNNNNNNNNNNNNNNNNNNNNNNNNNNNNNNNNNNNNNNNNNNNNNNNNNNNNNNNNNNNNNNNNNNNNNNNNNNNNNNNNNNNNNNNNNNNNNNNNNNNNNNNNNNNNNNNNNNNNNNNNNNNNNNNNNNNNNNNNNNNNNNNNNNNNNNNNNNNNNNNNNNNNNNNNNNNNNNNNNNNNNNNNNNNNNNNNNNNNNNNNNNNNNNNNNNNNNNNNNNNNNNNNNNNNNNNNNNNNNNNNNNNNNNNNNNNNNNNNNNNNNNNNNNNCGCGCCCACCCUCGCCGGCCACGCCCCGUCGCCUCGGCCGGCCGCGCCCAGCCUCGCCGGCCACGCCCCGUCACCUCCGCUCGUCCAAUUCGAACCGGCGGUGCUCGAUUGCGGCGUCUAGCGGUCUUUUUCGGUGUGCGGUGAUGAAUUCCGGCGAGUUUAGGGCGGAUUCUGGCGAACUCCGCGGCGGCAUGUUUGCUCCGAUGAGGUUUGACCGGUAUACGGGGCCCCCUAGGUUCGGCCUUCAAACCUAAAAAUAUAAGGGUUUCGGAUGAGCAUUUUCGGUGGCCAUUAAAAAAUUUAUGGGUUGGACCACUUUUACGGUUUCUAUUCUAGACACUUUUUUCGACCAAAACUGUAAAACGCAAAAAUUAUAAGGGUUUGACCACUUAUACUGGGUCUGCUAGAGAUCAUCUAAAGCAACCACCCUCCUGCGCAUGCUAAAAUGCUAUUUCGGCGCUGUCAGAAAAAAUUAGCGUGCCACUCUGCCACGCGCCUGUUGGAGAUGCUCUUAGAAACCCAUCCAUGGUUGAAAUCUGACUGAAAAAAUGGCUGAAAUUGAAUUACUACAUUAUAAAAUCUGUUUGUCAAAGGUUUGAUGAAACUUUGGCAGAUUGGUCAGCAUGGCAGUGCUGAUUUUACAUACGUCUUUCGUUUUUUCUUCUGGACAAUUUUAACUUUGUUGGUCAAAAUUCGGUAAAAUACCCGCGACAUGUGCCACAACCACCUUUAGAUCAAGUGAGGGGGCUGUAAAUUAAACAGGACAUGUGUUCGGGGUUGAAAUAUUCUCACUUCUCUCGAAACCAUUGCAUCUGGGAACGGUUGAGAGACGGGACAAAACCUACAAACGUACCCAUUAACGAACCCCGAACCUUUUAUUUCUACUUUCUAGAAGAGAAUGAUUACUUUUGAUUAGGAGGAAUCCAUCCAUGGCCACACCAUCUCCAGCGUUAAACAAGCUGCUGCCUGCCCCCAUCUCACGAGUCACAUCGGAGACACCAUUGCCCUGAAGAAACAGCGUAUACCACAUGUUACUUCCUCAGAUGCGCUCAUCCACUCUACAGCAUGGCAAAUCUGAAUUUUAUGCAGCUCCAUUAUUUAUCCAUCAUACGACAAAAGGUUCACACCACAAUUCAUGCACCCUUGCUUGCACCAGAACACGCACAUAACACCCACACACACAAGCCAGGCAAGGGACAGUCCACGCAGAGUGCACGCUUGCGACAACCAGAGCACAUCAAGGCUCGAAUUAUUCCAACCUAGACAGGGCCUACUGCUGCCCAUCACUACCGACACAAUGGGGGUGGGUCGGGUCUCCAAGCGGCGGGAGGGCUUAC